AUAAGCCAGCAAAGGGUAUUUCUACACCUCCAAGCUUUUCAGCAUUCGUAGAUGAACAUUCGUAGCAUCGACGUGAAUUAAACAGUUAUAGUAAGAAACAUGAAAGUGCACGAAUUUUUAAUAAUCUUGUUCACGAUCGAACUCGUUGCCUUACAACCGGGGGCAGGAGCGCUCAAGUGCUAUAGUUGCGAAGGCAAUUCAUGUAAGGAACAGAAACUUACCUCGGAAACGUGCAGCAGCAGUCCUUCAAAAACGACUACAAUCAAUCCUACAGACACGACUACAACCAAUCCUACAGACACGACUCCAACUAAUCCUACAGACACGACUCCAACUAAUCCUACAGACACGACUCCAACCAAUCCUACAGACACGACUCCAACCAAUCCUACAGACACGACUCCAACCAAUCCUACAGACACGACUCCAACCAAUCCUACAGACACGACUCCAACCAAUCCUACAGACACGACUCCAACCAAUCCUACAGACACGACUCCAACCAAUCCUCCAAGCUCGACUCCAACCAAUCCUCCAAGCUCGACUCCAACCAAUCCUCCAAGCUCGACUCCAACCAAACCUCCAAGCUCGACUCCAACCAAACCUCCAAGCUCGACUCCAACCAAACCUCCAAGCUCGACUCCAACCAAACCUCCAAGCUCGACUCCAACCAAACCUCCAAGCUCGACUCCAACCAAACCUCCAAGCUCGACUCCUCCAACCAAUUCUCCAAGCCCGACUGGACCCAAGGAUUCAAGCUCGAGUACUGCCUCGACUAAAUCCGAGCCUUCAGACCCGAAUUCCCUCGAAAACAAAACAACGAAGUCCGCGGCUUUAGCUGCCACGAAUAUUGAUAGAAAGCGUAGAAGUGUGAUCGAUCGGUUCUCACGAAUACAGUUCGUUAAUGGCAACGAUACAUAUCACUGUUAUUCAGCAACUGUGAAUGGCACGGAAUCCAAGGGUUGUACCACGGAAAAAGAUUUCUGUAAAGAUAAAGGAAGUUCAUGUAAACUCUGCGAAGAGGAUGGAUGUAAUUCGGCAACGUCAACUGUUGUAUUUACAUCUAUGAUUUUCUCUUUGGCAGUAAUCGUAUUAUUUGUAAGAUAAACUAAUAGUUUUCUUAUUGUAAAGCCAACUUUUUCAACAACAACGAUCAACAAUGCCUCAGCAACGAUCAACUAGAUCUUUCCAUUUCUUCUUUAUAAACAAAGAUAUUGUAUCGAACGGACACAGAGUUUUAUAAAUUUAACAGUAAGAAAGAAGUGGGAUUCUAUUGACAAUUAUAACUAAAAUAGCAUAUUGUACAUAUAUCUAUAAAGUUGUAAAAUAAAAGCUUUAUUUAUGUAAUUAUAGAUAGAACCAAAAUUACACGAGCAGUAAUUGAUGGUUCGUAUAAGUUGUGAACCUCCGUCCAUGGUAUACAAUCUAUAUAUUUUUACGGAUAUAAUAUAUAUAAUAAUCACGUAAAUCAGGACAUUGCACUUUGCGUCGGGAAUGAAAUUAAUUGUAAACAAAAGUGUAUUAAGUAUGGUUAAUUUGAUGUUUAACUAGCAAAUCAUUCACCGCGGAUCGAUGUGUAUGUAAGGGCAACGAACUCGAUGGAUUCGAUACGUUCCAGUCGUUAUACGUUAUAUUCAAGCUUUUCGACAUAAAUGUUUCUCACGCGAGAGUAACGCAAGCGUCGUUAUUCUCAAUAUGCAAAGAAAUUGCAUUGAACGUGUAGCAAUAAUAACUUGGAACGCUAUCAGAUUUCCAUCGACUUUCGGUCGAAACAACAAACAGGAACGUCAACAAAAUCGACAAUAUGGACGCGGGAAAUAUUGCGUGUUUCUGUUAUCAUUUUUCUGCGUAACAUAUUUCUAAUAGUAAUAUUUUCAGGUAUGCAAGUAAAUAUCUAAUUUUCAAUAUGCAGAAAGAUCCUAGAAGAGAAGAGGACAAGCACAAAAAGCAAAAUGCGAGUGAGCUGGGCGGGGGCGCAGAGGGAGAAGGGCUAUUUCAAACAAAGUUAGAACACACUAUGAAAGAGUUUAAAUUCAAAGGAUACGUCGAAAAAAAAUGGAUAUAUUUGGACGACGUGACGUCGAGCGACAAAAGACGAGUAUAAAGAAAAGAGAGGGGACAUGGAGGAAUAGUAAAUUAGCGAAGAAAGCGUGCGUGAACAUGAACUGUGUUGAACGUCACGACGCGAGGCAGUGCAUGAUGCGCGAUUAAGUGCAUGAAUUGAGAUUCGGACGUGCUGGUGGCCGGAGCGGUUCGCGCUUCGCGCGCCUCCACGGUGGUGUUCGUUGGGAAUUCUGGGCAAUUCUGGCGUUGCUCGCAAGGGUACGCGCGCGGUCGAGCAACUCGAUUCGUCGGAGCUGCGCCAAGCACUCCUCAGUCUCCACGACUCCGCGAGGAACCUCAGUCUACAGUCUAUCGUGACUGUUCGUGAGCGUCGUUUCGGUAGAGUUUUUCCGUCGCUUUCGCGUUUCUUUCAGAAUUGCUACCACACGAACGUUCCAUUAUUCUGUCCGUAACCUAUCUCUUGUUCUCUUUUACCACGUCGCCAAGUGAUAAGACUGAAAAAGAGGAAGAGAAAGAGAGGGAUAGACGGGAGAAUCUCCUUUCGACGUGGAUUCACAUCCUCUUCGAUUAAUCGACUCGUUCUGACCCUAAGCGAAGGAGUUGCUUCUCAUAAUCGGUGAAUCAGGUGACACGCGUCGAUCGGUGUAUCGAACGAGCUGUCAUCGUGGCAACAGCAGUCAUGCACGAUCGACGCGUUUGAAUCUUUCUCGUGUUCGUCCCUAAACGUGAAACAGGAUUUCGAGAUCCCCAGCCAUUCGCGGAUUACUCUGCACGGACGUGUGAG